GCCUGUUUAUCAAAAACAUGGCUCCUUGUAAAAGAUAAAUAGGGAGUCGGACCUGCCCGGUGAAAAUUUUUAACGGCCGCGGUACCCUGACCGUGCAAAGGUAGCAUAAUCAUUUGCCUUAUAAUUGAAGGCUAGUAUGAAGGGUUUGACAAGAAUAUAGCUGUCUCUUUAUGAUUUAGUAGAAUUUUAUUUAUAGGUGAAGAAGCCUAUAUUAUAUUAAAAGACAAGAAGACCCUAUCGAGCUUUAAAAAAAUUAAUAGAUUUAGGCUUAAAUGAUAUUCAAAAAUUUAACUAUUAAAAAUUUUGGUUGGGGCGACUAAGGAACAGAAAAAGCUUCUUUUAAAGAAAAAACAUUCAGGUAAUGAUCCAGAAUUAUUCUGAUUAAAGAAAUUAGUUACCGUAGGGAUAACAGCAUAAUCUUUUUUGAGAGCUCUUAUUGAAAAAAAGGUUUGUGACCUCGAUGUUGGACCAGAAUAUCCUAAAGAUGCAGCAGUCUUUAAGGGUUGGUCUGUUCGACCAUUAAAAUUCUACGUGAUCUGAGUUCA
rnacentral:rRNA from 1 species